UAUCAUUUAGCGGAGGAAAAGAAAACUAACAAGGAUUCCCCUAGUAACGGCGAGUGAAGUGGGAAAAGCUCAACUUUGAAAUCUGGUACUUUCAGUAUCCGAAUUGUAGUCUCAAGAAGUGUUUUCUGUGCCGGUCCAUGUAUGAGUCUGUUGGAACACAGCGUCAUAGAGGGUGACAACCCCGUUCAUGACAUGGAUCCCGGUGCUUUGUGAUACACUCUCGAAGAGUCGAGUUGUUUGGGAAUGCAGCUCAAAUUGGGUGGUAAAUUCCAUCUAAAGCUAAAUAUUGGCGAGAGACCGAUAGCAAACAAGUACCGUGAGGGAAAGAUGAAAAGCACUUUGGAAAGAGAGUUAACAGUACGUGAAAUUGUUGAAAGGGAAACGAUUGAAGUCAGACGUGCGUGAUGCGGUUCAGCUCUAGUUCGCUAGAGUGUACUCCGUAUCUUUGCAGGCCAACAUCGGUUUUGUUAGUCGGAUAAAGGUUUGAGAAAUGUGGCACCUUCGGGUGUGUUAUAGUCUCAGACUGAAUACGAUUGAUGGGACCGAGGAACGCAGCGCGCCGCAAGGCAAAGGUUCCGACCUUUUCGCGCUUAGGAUGUUGGUGAAAUGGC
rnacentral:rRNA from 1 species